rnacentral:rRNA from 1 species
GACGAACGCUGGCGGCGUGCUUAACACAUGCAAGUCGAACGGGCCUGUCUUCUUUUUUGGGGGUGGGUUGAGUGGCGAACGGGUGAGUAUCACGUGAGUAACCUGCCCUUCGGUCCUGGAUAACCGCUUGAAAGGGCGGCUAAUACGGGGUGGUCCGGUUGGUCCGCAUGGGCUGGUCGGGAUAGAUUCACUGUGUUUGGUGUUUCGGCGGGGGUUGGGCUCGCGGCCUAUCAGCUUGUUGGUGGGGUGAUGGCCUACCAAGGCGGUGACGGGUAGCCGGCGUGGGAGGGUGGGCGGCCACACUGGGACUGGGAUACGGCCCAGACUCCUGCGGGAGGCAGCGGUGGGGGGUAUUGCACAGUGGGCGGAAGCCUGAUGCAGCGACGUCGCGUGAGGGAUGGAGGCCUUCGGGUUGUGAACCUCUGUUUCCGGUGGUGAAGGCCCUGUCCGUGUGGUGGGGUUGACGGUAGCCGGGGAUGAAGCGCCGGCUAACUACGU